AUUAAUUAUUUAAAUUUAAUUUUGAUUUAGGACAGGAUACUAUGGCCUUGUUUUGUUUGGUUCAUGUAGCCAUGCAAUGUUUAGUAGUUGUUGUUCAAUUUCCUCAAUGGAUUUAGAUUCAGCCAAGUUCCCACUAUCCCCAAUGUAGAGGAACAGUGCCCUAAUCCUGUAAAUGGGUUGGAAACCAUGAACUUUGGAUUCAUGAAUGACCCUUUUCUUUUUCCACCUGAUCAAAACAAUGCUCAAAAUCCUACUUCUUCUAUUUUUAAUAAAUUAAGAGUCAGAUUUCCUAUAAAAUAUAAAAUUAAAAUUGAAAUAAAUUUCUCAAUUCUGGUGGCAAUACUUCAAGCUUUGUGCACCCAUCAUGAUUAAGUAUGCUUCAGCCUUCAGAAGACUAUAAUAAUUUUGAUUAAAUUCAAAAUUAAAUGCAGAAAUAAUUCCAAGAUUUUAAUCAAAGUUCUGCAUCAGAGUCUUUUUCUUCAGUGUUGUGAACAGCUUCUUUGGCAACAUUUGCAGUAGAUUUAGCAGAUUUAACAACUGUCUCUUUGCUCUUCUCCAAGUUAGGAACAAGUACAAAAGGUGCUGAAUUAAGGAGAGUAGAGAGAGAAUUUUUGAGAAGGUUUGAAGUGAUUGGAUUUCACAGUUAUAUGCAUUAAAAGCUAUCUAAGGCCAUAGAGCAGUUACAAUGAAAUAUAUGCACGCCUUCAAUAAUAAUAAUAAUAUCAAAUACAUGUCGUAAACUACAAGGUUUGCACUUUCCAUCUACUUCUAACUGCUUUCACUAUUUACCUUAUUAUUUUUCAGAUCACUUCACUACACUACU